CGCAAAAGCUCAACGUUUGGUUUCAAUCUAUGACGUCAUAUAUGUGUGGUACAAAACAAGGACCCAGAGCAGAAAUUCAUAUCAGGAGAAGUGCAAUUUUUCUGCAUAAACUUCUAAUGGCAAAAGCAAAGAUAGACAAGUAUCUUGGCAAAAGCUAUAUAACUUUUGGGCGUGUGUAGAUGGUACUUAGAAUUCCAUUACUCAGUUGGAACUGCGUGGAAAUACAUUUUAUUCAUUCUCAUUUGGAUGGAUCCUUCCAACGGAGCAAUCGGACAUACGGAUCCACAUCCAUUUAUCUUACCCUGUUCCUAUGAUUUUUUAUUUAUUUGGAUAUUAAAUCAACACGCUCCCUGAUACUCUCCUCAAUGGCAUGAUCUGUUCAAGGGAUCUCGCCUCUUUUUUUUCCCUCGGUGAUUUCAUCUCAUAUAAUGGAAGGAUCGUUGAUUGUGCAGGUGCUUAUUGAUAACCAUGUCUGGGAUUGUGACUUCUUAUUUCGUUAAACAUUGUCCCUAUACAUUAAUUUCUCCAGAUCUUCAACGUAAUCAUCGUAUACUUCUACAUAUAAGAACUAUAGACAGAAUAAUCGACUGAUAUACCCAGUGUGGAGUAGAGAGAGUUCUUAUCCUCCAUCUACAGCUCUUUCUUUGAAAUUCUUGAAAGUUAACUCUGCUUCGUCUCCUUCUCUAACAAAACUAUUUCAUUAAUAAGAGUCCUUCAAUGUUCUUGAUGAAUGUAAAUUAGAAAUGACACAUAUCAAUUCCAUUUAUAAGUUAGACUUAAUGAUAUACGGUAUAUAUGGAUAAUUAUAUAACCUAGACACUUAAAGCUCACGCUUGAUUUCUUUAUUUCUUGUGAGUCUCUUUUAGGAUUUCAAAAUAAGUGGAAGAUCAUUAUAGACUCGUGAAGACAAUGUGCUUCUCUCUUCUCGAUAUUUUGAUAUACAAAGGAUAUUCUAUUGUGCUUUUACAUAUAAAUAGUUACUUGGAACUGUGUAGUAUUUGUGUGUUAAAAAUAAAUAUAAGAAACCUCUUAAGUUCUGUAGACUUCUAUUGAAAUAUCUGAAUAUCAUUGUAAUUCCCAAAUCUAUUGAGUCUGGAAUUAUCUUCAAAACAACUAAAUUGCUUGUCAUCAUGCUGGAAUAUUGCUCUAGCGAAGAACGAGGAUCUCUAUACAAAUAAAUUAAUUACAGAUAAAAAGUUAUUGUGAACUUUAAAGUGAUUAUGUUUUUAUAAAUAUAUGUAUAAAAUACCUCUUAAUUUAUGUUGGAAUAUCUGAAUGCAAUAAUAUCGAAGUAUGAGAGAAUGAGAAGUGUCACAAAACCUCAUACAUUCCAACUACUUUAUGGGGGUCAUGAUUUACCAUUUUUUUGUGAAUACAGUUCGUGUCAUUAACUUUAUUCACGAUAGUGAUAUUUAAUUAAUUACUUCUAAGACAAUAAGGAUUGAUCUUUUCGCGGAACAUCCACAUGUGUGGAUCUAGGUCAAUUCAUAAUUCCAUGGAAUCCAUAUCUGUUUAUGGCAUUGGGAUAUGCAUAAUGGUCACGGAUCUCAUCUCCUUCAAUGAAAUUGUCAUUCAUUGUGCAAAUGUCAUUUAACAUCCAACUUGGUUACUUCAUCAUUCAUUGGUUCAAAUACACAUCCGUUGCUCUAGAUCUUGUAUGGAAUAAUUGUAUACUUCUAUAAAAGCUGAGGAUAUGUUUAAGAAAGAUGAAUAAUACUGGAAUGAAAUAUACAGUGAGGAACAAAGAGACUUAUCAUCUUUCAUCUGCAGCUCUUCCGUUGAAACCCCUUUCAAAGUCUACUCUAGUUUGUCUCCUAAUAUUCUUAGAAAACUCUUUCACUGAUUUUAGUCCUUUAGUGUCAUAUGUACACAACAAUCAAACAACUCAUAUCUUUGACAUUGAAUCCAUUUAUAAGGCUGUAUUAUUUCUGCAAUUGUAGAAACUUUAUUCUCGCUUCCGAUUCCAUUAUUAACAGUGAAUCUCUUCUGUCAUUGGAAAAAAGUAGAAGAUGACCAUGAGUUUAAUGUGGUUUUCUUUUCUAGAUAUCUUUAUUAUCAAAGUCGCAAAACAUAAUCAACUCUCCUAUUACCUACACAUAUGCAUAAAUAGUUGACGGGAACUCUUAUUUGAUAAAUAUGUUAAUACAUUAUUAUCCGUUAACUUUAGUAGACUAAUAUUGGAAAAUAUGAAUUUUGUUUAAUAUAUUUCAAAAGUUAGUGAGUCGGGAGUCAUUUUCUAAAUUACUAAAAAUCACUUGUCAUCAUAUUUGAAUAUUACUCUCGCGUUAGGAUAUCUAUAUCAAUCAAUAAAUUACCGAUUACACUAAACGCUUGCGAUUGUUUCAGUAUUCAUCGACACUAAAGGAUUGGAUUAACUAAGGAUUAAUGGAGAAAAAAUCGAUUAAAUGUUCCUGAUCCUCUAAACAUCUUUGUUUUAUUGUGUUGGUUGAGUUCUUCACAACUAAAGGAUUGAUUAAGUGCCUUGAUAAUUGUAAAGAAUAUUAAUAUGACAUUAACACUUAAAAUUAUUUUCUUGUUUAUCGAUUGGAAAUAAAGGUCUAAUGCACCUACAUAAAUAUGUAUUUAUUUAUGUGCUUCAUUGAUUUAAGUUAA
rnacentral:lncRNA from 1 species